CAGUCCCGGUGCUGCAGGAGGGAGGGGCGGGCGUGGGGAUGGCUGGGCCUUGGGCAUCGCCAGAGACAUCAUAGCCUUCCGGGACAGCCCAGGGGCUUGGCAGAGUGUCUUGUUGUAAAGCUUGUGGGGUCUGCAGGGCCUACUCUGGCUAUACCCACCCACAAGGCCAUGCAGCCAGAGGGUGCGGGAGACAAACAGGAGCCGAGCCAAGUGGCCAGAAGGAAGGCCAGGAGCAAGCCCCAGCAGAAGCCAAGCCCAGCAGACAAGAACUCCUCAUACUCUUCCCAGCUCAAGUUUCACAAUCUCCACGAAGUUUGCCAAGGUCACCUCUUCCUGCCGCAUCCUCCUCCUCCUCUAUCAUAGCCAACGCUUAUCUGACAUUGCCAAGUGCAGGGCUAGAAGCUUCAUAUGUGUUAUCUAAUUUAAUGCUCCCAAUACCAGUAUGAGAAUGGUGUCAUCAUCCUUUUGUACACAGAAUCCACUGCAGCUCAGAACAGGCCACCUCUUCUCAGGGAUCUCACAGUUUUCCACGGCACUGAAAUGGCUGGUGAAAGAAUCCGUCUCCCUGAGACCAUGAGCUCCUCAAGGAAGCUGGGACUGACACCUCCAUGUCUCCAGGGCCCAGCCCAGGACCUGGCACAGCUCUGUGUUCAGUGUUGGCUGAAUGAAUGAAUCCAGUCCACCAUGAAUUGAUCCUGAAGUGGACCUAGAGUUGGAGGGACUAGACUAUUGAUUUUGCAACUUAUUAACUAUGGGAUCUCAGACAAGUCCCUUCACCCAUUUGGGCCUCAGUUUUCUCAUCUGUAGAAUGGGGAUGAUUUGAGGAAAACAGAGGUUGAAGCACUUCAUAAACCGAGUUGCUGCAUAGUUGUGAGGUGAGAUGAUGGAGGUUCCCAAGCCCAGGCUCCAGGGAAAGACUUUGGCACUUGCCCCUUGCUAAACAAAGCAUGCAAUUUUAAAGGCUCACAGCUAUCGCAGAUUUUCCUAAAACAUGCGUCAAUACAAAAGUUGUUGAGUUCCUUUAGAGAAACACUGUAACGGAGACUCCCUGCACUGACAAUUUAGCUGAGCAAGUUUGCUCUGGCUGUGCACGCCCCAGGGAUUCCUCCAUACCUGCAGCUGGAACCCAUGAAGAAACUUUGGGCCUUUAAUUAGAACCAUUUGCCCUUCCAAUGAACGGCAGGUGGCUGGGCCAACUUACAAAGAGAUGCUCAUUAGAGCAGUAUGUGCCCUUUGAUCCAUCCGUCUGACUGCUGGGACUCUGUCCUAAAGAAAUAAUCCCAAAUAUGGAAAGGCUUAUGAACAAAUACACCAUCUUUGGAGUAUUUCUUGUAACGGCAGAGAAACUGGAAUCAACCGGAAUAUCCAAUGGGGAAUAAGUUGCUGAUGUUUCCUCAACUGGAUGGGACUUUAUUACUCACUGAGAAGAAAUGGCUGGGAAGGCUUUGGAGCAACAUAAAGUAUGUUUAUGAUAGAAUGUUAAGUAAACAAAUCAGGUUACAAAACUAUGUACCCUGAGAUGAACUAUGCAAACUAUGCAUAUAAAUAUCAGAAAUAGGCUGGGCGCGGUGGCUCUUGCCUGUCAUCCCAGCACUUUGCGAGGCCAAAGCGGGUGGAUCACGAGGUCAGGAGUUUGAGACCAGCCUGACUAACAUGGUGAAGCCCCGUCUCUACUAAAA
rnacentral:lncRNA from 10 species